rnacentral:rRNA from 1 species
AGAGGCCCAAGUUGACAAACACCGGCGUAAAGCGUGGUUAAGUUAAAAAUCGUACUAAAGCCAAACAUCUUCAAGACUGUUAUACGUAACCGAAGACAGGAAGUUCAACCACGAAAGUCGCUUUAUCUGAUCUGAAUCCACGAAAGCUAAGGAACAAACUGGGAUUAGAUACCCCACUAUGCCUAGCCCUAAACAUCGAUAGUACCACACACCCACUAUCCGCCCGGGUACUACAAGCAAUA